UCCCGGCGUUGAGUACGGUGCUCUGCCCACAGUAAGUGCUUAAUAAGGAAUAAUGACUACUCUUGUUAUGUUCUUUAUUAAACGCUUACUAUGUGCCGGGCGCCAUUUGAAGCACUGGGA